UUUGUACUCCCUCCGUCCCAAAAUUCUUGUCUUAAAUUUGUCUAAAUACGGAUGUAUCUAGUUACAUUUUAGUGUUAGAUACAUCCGUAUCUAAACAAAUGUAAGAUAAGAAUUUUGGGACGGAGGGAAUACUAC
rnacentral:pre_miRNA from 1 species